UCUGAUAUCAGCGAGUGCAUUUGAAAGUUGGUCAGGCUGUUCGGAGAACAAACACUGCAAAUGGCAAGAACUUUGGACGCAGCUUGAAAUAGAAAAGCUCACCCAACGUUCAUGACAGACUGACAGCCAAUUAUCAGCAUCUCUUUUCUUCACAAAUUCCUUUUUUGUACAUCUUCCAUUCCGAUUUGGGACUUAAAAAGGAGGCCAUUUUUCCAGACAGUGAUUUCUUCCAAUAUCUCAUCUCCCGGUGCCUUUUUCAUGCGUGUGUGCAUUUUUUUUUUUUUUUAAACCGAGGCAGGAUCUCCCAUGGGGUUACAGUCUUGCAAGCCUUACAACUGCUGCCUACAAAGCAAAGAGGAAUGCAGACUGACUGGUGUCUGCCCCUAUGUUUGUGAGGAUUGGAGAUAUUGCUCUGACCGCUGUUGUGACGUUUGCUGCCAGAUGUGCGUGGACCUGUGCUCUUGCUUGUGUUCAGGAGACUGCAGCUACACUUUCUGCACAGUCUGUCUCGCUCUGGCGCAGAACUGCCUUUUACUUUUCACCGCCCGACAAAGUGAAACAUCAGAGGCACGGCCUGCAACCCCAGAACAGCUUGCAUAGCUGAGAGUCGGAGACAAAAGCAUGACCACAAGCCUCGAAAUAACUCACAGGUGAAACAUAGUUAACUGCACAGCAUUAAUUGUACUUGUUCUGAAGUCUUGGCAACCGCUGCGGGGCCUUAAUGCAACUCAGUCCUUUGUUUUCCUGUAGAAACAGAUAAAUGGGAAAUUCAAGUGCACUGUCUCUAAUGAAAAGAUUUUUCAGUUGAGCUACUAAGCGCGAGCAAAUUCUCAAAAACUUUCAGCCAAGAGUGGCACAGAAUUCAUCCUGCCACACAUAUUGUACACUUGCAAAUGGCACUUAAAGAUAAAAGAAUUGCAAUUCUUCAUAAGAUGUGAGGCUAAUUUCACAAAGACUUUAUAGAACGCCAAGACCACUCGCAUCCAAAGGUUGAUUUACAUGCAAAAUAAAAAUACACAAAACUUGUUUUUCUUGCUGUCAGACAUCAAAUAAGAGUAAACUUUUGUCCUUUAGAAAUUAUUUGUUUUGCCAAAUGCUGGAAUAAUGACAAACGUUCUUUUUCUUUCUUCAAAUUCAGCAGUUUUAACAUAUCUUUAGUAUGUGGUAGAAAUGCCUUUUAAGCUGUGACUCAAAUAUGUUUUAGUAUUCUUCCACAAGCUUCCCUCGGUAACUUCACAGGGAUUUUGUUCCUUCCCUCCUGACAGAACUUAAAAUCAGUCUGGACUGUGGUUCUGAUUUGCCUUUUCAUUGUCACUUGUUUUUUAAUCAGACAACAUGGCAUUUCUCAAUUUUUGUCCAUUUGUACUUUGGCAAACUGUAAUAUAGGUUUUUAUGUUCCUUUUGGAGUAAUGUCUUCUUCGUGUCUCAAUAGCCUUUCAGUCCAUGUUGGUGCAGGGUUCGUUUUACUCUGAAUAAUGAAUCUUUUAUUAGCUUCCGCCAGCAACUUCACAAGACCUUUUCCUUUUGUUCUGAGGUUGAAAUACACAUUUCAGACUAAAACUCAUGCAUCUCUAGAAAACAGACCUAGACAUCCCCAUGAUGUCUAGCAUCAUGGGGAUGAUGCUAGACAUCAAUACAUUGUAAGGAGGAAAUGGUUACCUUUCCUUGACAUAUUAACUUAUUUCUUGUGAAAUAUUGUUAUUGAAAAGGCUUCAAAAAUGUGCGCUUAGGCUUAAACAUUUCUGGCAUUUCCUGAAGAGAAACGAUGUUGUUAAUCCUCUAAAUCAGUCGCCCCCAGCCCCUGCUGCGGACCAGUACCGGUCCGUGGACCAGUUGGUAACAGGCCUCACAAAAAAUAAUUAAAUACUUCAGUUUUAUGUAUUAUCCGAGUCUGAAGGAUUUUUUUAUUUUGAAAAUCCUUUAACCAGAUUCUCUCCAUUAGGUCUUGCCUGCCAACAUUGAGCCAGCAAGGAACAAAAUGAGUGAGAAACAGAUCAGAUGUCUUUGGAAAGUUUCUUAGGGAAGGAGGAAAGGCUCCAGAGAAGAGACAGGAGAAUGGAUUUAUCCCGGUAGAUUAUUCCCACAUUCCAAGCCCGUUCUGUAUAAUAUAAGGUGACCGGCUCGCUAAUGAGGCAAUGAUUGUUGUAAGGGCAAAAUCGGGGCAAAAAAUUUAAAAUUGUGCUAUGUGAACUAGGCUUUAGUGGACACAUGCCUUGUCUGAGGGUUCAACCCCCGCCCCUGUCCCCCACCUCUUUGGGGCCGCAGUGAAAUGGCCAAGCCUUGACCGGUCCGCGGUGAUUAAAAAAAAAGGUUGGGGACAACUGCUCUAAAUGGCUUAAAACAGGAAAUUGAGUGGGAAUAAGAAAUGGCAGACAGGACAGGGAUAGGAUAAGAAAUAAGAAAUGUCAUUGUGUAUUUUACACUGUAUAGAAAGAUUUGGCUUUAUCUGUAGCUGAACAGCAGAAAGUCCUCAGCUAUACCGAGCUAACCCACAGGAAGAAAACACCUGAAAUUUGCUUCCUGACAGACUUGUAGAAAGUUGAAUCAAUAGAAAGUGAAGCAAAGAGAGCAAUGCAGUGUCAAGGUUUUGAUCGCAGUUGUUGUUCGAGGCAAACCCACUGAGGUUUUGUGGAUGUGUACAAAAUGACUUUUCUUCUCUUUUUAUGCUUGGCUGAAAGCAAAUGCACAUCACGCUCUGCCUUGGAGGACCACUGUUGUGCUUAUAUGCACAUAACUGCAACCUGCACUCCAGAGGCUUUAGACGCUGUCUACACAUAACAAAUUUGUCAAUAAAAAUAGUGGGUAAAUGCUAACAUCAAGAAAAAGUUGAGAAGCCUUAUUCACAGAAAAGUUCCAGAGUGAAAGUAAAUAAAAAGCUCUUUUCCCCCCAAAAAAUUUAUACUUCAAAUAAACUGCACUUAUAGUCUCAAGUCAUUAAUGUACUUUCUAAGAACGACAUUGAAGUCAUUGUCUAAACAAUUACCAACACAUCAAUAUUAAAAUACUUCACACAGGGUGCUGUGUUGAAAGUCAAAGUUACUCUUUGAUCACUACAUUCAUAUUUAAGGCAGUGAGCCACCUUUUAGACCUGACAGCAACACCAGAUAAACAUAAAUGGAAAAAAAUAUAAAAGCUGAUAAAUUAAUUGGUGAGUGAGAAAGAGGAGCCAUCACGAGCCGGGACAUAGUCCUACAGUAAUGUCCGUUAACUGCAAGCACCCAGACAUAAACACAAUCAACAAAACUUACUUUUUGAUUUCAGCACAAAUUGGCGUGCACAGGCGGUGUUCCUGCUGCAGUUGUCAUAUCCAUCCUAGCUUGUAACUUUCAGUGUCAAACAUUUUUCCCGAUUCAUAUAUUCAAACACAGCCAUUUCCGGACUAAAGCGCGUCGGGAGGGAGUCACGUGAUGAUGUAACGACGUCAUCAGGGCGUUGUAUUAAUUUAGUGUUUUUUUUCAAAUUGAAUAUAGCAUUUUUUUUCAGUGUUAUGAUUGUUUUAUAUAUAUAUAUAUAUAUAUAUAUAUAUAUAUAUAUAUAUUGAUUAGAGUACUUAAGUUAGAAGUAAUUGUUUCAUUUUUUUCUUUGUGUGUGUUUUGUUUUUGUUUUCUCUUUUUGUGGGCGGAGCCUGUGACUAUAAGAGAGGGCUCUGCACCGCAAGGAGUCAGUCUGAGUUUAGACUCUCAACAGAUCAUGAUGGCGAUGGACUUCUGAGCUGCUACGAAGGGUGAAUUACAAGUUGUAAGCAAAAAGAGAGAGCACGAACUCAAAGUUAGCAUGACCCACAGACGACCUGCACAUAUCAAAAUGAGACUGCGAAGACGAGGCAUGAGCUGCAGGUCUGAUGAGGUUGGAGAUGAGAAGGCCAGAAGAUUUGACAACAGGUGUAAAAAUAGCUGUCUUCCCAGUGCUGGGGAGUGCAUACACAUGUGAAUUUGCAACUUCACAUGAUCCCGUGUGUCACAGAGAAAGUCUUAUAACCACUUUCUAUCUUUCUGCAGAAUAAAAUUCACAGCUUGGUGCCAUGAUAUGAUGGAAUGAAAGUCGUAUUAUAAAUGUCUUUUUGCUUUGUCUUUCCAGAUCAGUGGUCCUUACAAUGAGCUCAGGAUUAUUGUUGUCAUCAUGGCUGAACAAAAAGCUACUGAACAGAAGUGAGAUUUUCCUUAUCUGAUGAAAAUGACAUUCUUUUCCCGAAUCAUACCCAAGUGAUGGCAGAGACUGGAUGUUGGACUUUUAUUGCUUUGUUUCCACCUCAUCACUGUAAAAUCUUGUUUGAAAAAGGAUUUAAAUCUGAGCUUUUGUAUUACGAAUAUGAAUACAUUUUCUUUUGUUUCAAAACUAACAUACUAUAAAAUAUACUACUUAAUAUAGAGUGCAUAUGUGUUUUUUUAUUUUUUAUAGGGGAGAUUAAAGUGUCUACAGACUGAGGUUUUUACCCACAUUCUACUUCAGAGCACUCAAAUUUCAGCUGGAGUGAGCAGCACUUUGAAGAAAACAAAAACAUAAUUUGGUUUCACACUCACAAUAUUAUAUCUUUUAAAGAGGAAAGAGUGCCUCAGGCCCUGGGGCACCAUUUCUCUUCCUCUGAACUAAACCUUUUUAUUAUCCUGCACAAAAUAGCUAGUUUAUGGUAAUUUCACUGAUUGGAUGAGCCAUGCCCUGAGCAUCAAAAGAGGCAGGGACUGAGGAAAAUCUAACAUAUACAGAGUGAUGUAUAUAAAACUGGAUAGUGUCCUCACGCAUCCACCUGUUUUCUCCUCUUUCUUGUUCUUUUGGGCUUUGAAGUGCAUUUGGUCUGGUCUACUGCUAAGGGUCCCUUUAAAAUUCAGCAGAUUCAUCACAUGGCCUGCUCCUUCCUUCAAAUGACCUUGUGUAUUUUGCAUUUUUAGUAACUGGUAGUUGAAAGAAAUCUUGGAAAGAUAUUUUUUACUAGUUUUUAGGAAUCACUUUUCAAAGCAAGUUUCAAAAGUGUGCAUAGCCUUGCACGAGUGUUAUUACUCUCACAAUAAAUUUAGUCAUUUGAAAUGGGACCAUACGCCUAAAACAGCAUUCUCUUGUCUAUAGUUAACUGGCAAAUGUAUUUCAUAGUUAACUAUAGUUAAUACUUUGCAAAAUACUAAUAAAACACUUUACAUAUUUUUGCAUUUUGUCUUGUUACAACCACAAUCGUCAGUGGUUUGUAACUGUAUACAUCAAGUCAAAAAUAGUGCAUUAUUUUGAAGUAAAGACUGUUGACUGAUAUGGUCAUUGUAUUUCAUCACAGUCCCAGCUACAAAUCUUUUUGUGUAUGUCUGUACGAACAUUGCACAUGUAGAACCAUUCUGACAUUAUUCUUUGUAAAAUGGCAUUGCUUUUUAAGAUUUUCUAUGUCUUUAAUUAAACAUUACAUGUGCCAUUCUUGAACAUGAUUUGAUCUAAACCAUGCACUUGGUUCUUUGGCUCUAACUUUACGGUUGUUGUUCGGCUGGAAGGUGAACCGUUGCCCAAAUCCCCAACUUUUUGGAAACUGACACAUUUUCUUCUGCGAUUUGUCUUUCUUUAGUUGCUUCCUCUUUAUGAAUGGUGACCAAUCUUGCUGAUGAAAGAAAAACAAUGGCAGGAUGUUGCCACAUUUUAUCAUAAUAAAGGUGUGUUGAUCGUUA